AGAGUUUGAUCCUGGCUCAGGAUGAACGCUGGCGGCGUGCCUAACACAUGCAAGUCGAACGAAGCACCUUUUGAGAUUCUUCGGAUGAUCGAUCGGUGACUGAGUGGCGGACGGGUGAGUAACGCGUGGGUAACCUGCCCUGUACAGGGGGAUAACAGCUGGAAACGGCUGCUAAUACCGCAUAAGCGCACGAGGAGACAUCUCCUAGUGUGAAAAACUCCGGUGGUACAGGAUGGGCCCGCGUCUGAUUAGCUGGUUGGCAGGGUAACGGCCUACCAAGGCAACGAUCAGUAGCCGGUCUGAGAGGACGAACGGCCACAUUGGAACUGAGACACGGUCCAAACUCCUACGGGAGGCAGCAGUGGGGAAUAUUGCACAAUGGGGGAAACCCUGAUGCAGCAACGCCGCGUGAGUGAAGAAGUAUUUCGGUAUGUAAAGCUCUAUCAGCAGGGAAGAUAAUGACGGUACCUGACUAAGAAGCUCCGGCUAAAUACGUGCCAGCAGCCGCGGUAAUACGUAUGGAGCAAGCGUUAUCCGGAUUUACUGGGUGUAAAGGGUGCGUAGGUGGCAGUGCAAGUCAGAUGUGAAAGGCCGGGGCUCAACCCCGGAGCUGCAUUUGAAACUGCUCGGCUAGAGUACAGGAGAGGCAGGCGGAAUUCCUAGUGUAGCGGUGAAAUGCGUAGAUAUCAGGAGGAACACCAGUGGCGAAGGCGGCCUGCUGGACUGUUACUGACACUGAGGCACGAAAGCGUGGGGAGCAAACAGGAUUAGAUACCCUGGUAGUCCACGCCGUAAACGAU
rnacentral:rRNA from 1 species